UUAGAAGGUAAAUGUAGCGUUAGAGGGUAAAUGUAGCGUUAGAAGGUAAAUGUAGCGUUAGAAGGUAAAUGUAGCGUUAGAAGGUAAAUGUAGCGUUAGAGGGUAAAUGUAGCGUUAGAGGGUAAAUGUAGCGUUAGAGGGUAAAUGUAGCGUUAGAGGGUAAAUGUAGCGUUAGAAGGUAAAUGUAGCAUUAGAGGGUAAAUGUAGCGUUAGAAGGUAAAUGUAGCGUUAGAGGGUAAAUGUAGCGUUAGAAGGUAAAUGUAGCGUUAGAGGAUAAAUGUAGCGUUAGAGGGUAAAUGUAGCGUUAGAGGGUAAAUGUAGCGUUAGAGGGUAAAUGUAGCGUUAGAGGGUAAAUGUAGCGUUAGAAGGUAAAUGUAGCGUUAGAGGGUAAAUGUAGCGUUAGAGGGUAAAUGUAGCGUUAGAGGGUAAAUGUAGCGUUAGAAGGUAAAUGUAGCGUUAGAAGGUAAAUGUAGCGUUAGAGGGUAAAUGUAGCGUUAGAGGGUAAAUGUAGCGUUAGAGGAUGAAUGUAGCGUUAGAGGGUAAAUGUAGCGUUAGAGGGUAAAUGUAGCGUUAGAGGGUAAAUGUAGCGUUAGAGGGUAAAUGUAGCGUUAGAGGGUAAAUGUAGCGUUAGAGGGUAAAUGUAGCGUUAGAGGGUAAAUGUAGCAUUAGAGAGUAAAUGUAGUGUCACUUAUCAAUAUUUGCUGAAAAUCAAAUCUCUUAUUUAUAAUAUCCUGAAAGGAUCCGAUACCAAAAAAAUUAAUGAUUUAUAUAAACAA